GAUAUACUCCCUCCGUCCGAAAAUACUUAUCAUAGUAAUGGAUGCAUCUAGAUGUAUUUUAGUUCUAGAUACAUCCAUUUUAUAAAUUUGUGCGACAAGUAAUUCCGGACGGAGGGAGUAUAAC
rnacentral:pre_miRNA from 1 species